CAGCAUUGAUUUAUUUAAGAAAUUAAGAAUAAAGAAAUAUUAAAAAAAGAUGGACAAAAUAUUUGUAUUAAAUUUGUUGGAAUUUUUGUCUUGCCAAAGAUGACAGAGUCAAAAAGAGAGGCAUACAUGUAUAUAUAGUUGUGUUGUUUUGUCAGCAUGGUCAGCAUCAACAAUGUAUUACAAAAAUGUAGUUUGUGAUUGUGUGAUUAGGUCUAGUUUAUGGGAGGUCAAUGAUAUUUGGUACGCAGUUGUGUUAGCAUAGGUAUAUCUCAUUACCUGAUUACCAGAAUAUUUAGCCCCACCCCCUUUGUCACAGUCAAUUGACUCUGAAACUUAGUUUACAUGCAUUAGUUUUUGAUUAGGUGAGUUAUUGAGGAACCACUAGUGAAUGGUCAAUGAUAUUUGGUGUGCAGUUGUAUAAACUUUGUCACUUUCAAUUUCUAUUGAGGAUAUUUGACUCUCCCCCCUAAAUUAUUCUCUUUUUACUUGGAAACUUACGUUACUUUGAAAUUUCAUAAAGCUUUUGAUUAUUUUACUAUGAAGGAAACCAAUCGUCGUAAGUCAAUGAUGAUUGCCAUGGAGGUGAAGAAGCAUUAGUACGUUUCAGUUCCAUAGAGGAUAUUUGGUCCUUACCCCUCGGUCAUAUGCAUGAUCUAUUGAUUUUGACUAUUAUUAUGUUAGUUUAAGAAACCAGCAAUCUAUGUGUUAGGGUUUGUUUAAAGGGGACAACUUAUGAAAAGUCAAUGUUAUUUGGUAAGCAGUUGUAUAAGUGUUGGCACAUCUUAUUUCCAUAGGGAUUGUUCAGCCCUGUACAAUCAGUCAUGGAUCAUUGUCUUUGAAUAUAUUUUACAUGUUAAUGCAUUUCUAUUUUAAUUGUAUUAUUUGUAUUAUCAAAAUAACAAAUAGGCAAAACAUGUCUCUGUAUUAAAAGCUGAUUAUAGAUAAGACGUCACAUGUACAAUUAUUAUAAAGAUAAGAAUAUGUGGAAUGAUAGCCAAUGCAUCAUAAUGAGACAACUAUAUAUAUAUCCACCAAAAUAAAUGAAGAAAGUAAGCAAUUAUAGUUAGGCAACCAUACAGGCUUCAAAAAAUGUUGUAUCAUUGCUAGGCCAUUAUAACAACAUCAGCAUUUAUUGUAAUAUAACUUACAAGAAAAUUACACCACUUAAGAUAGUUUCAGCUAUGAUUUGAUGAUUGUGCAUACAAUGUAGGUGCACCAACUGAUGCAACUAAAACUGCUAAUAUGGCAUAUUCAUACUUUAGAAUAUAGUUGAAUUAAACCAUACACCCACUGCUGGACCCCAUUAUUGAAAUUAUUAAUCUGAUAAGAAUAAUCCUCCAUGCAGCGUGUAACUAUUAGCAAAACCUACAUGUAUACUGCAUAGUAAGCUUUAAAAGACCAG
rnacentral:lncRNA from 1 species